GAAAAUUAUGCCGAUAAACAGGAUGGAAUUUGGGAAAAAAGGUUAUAAAUCGAGUGGCUCAUUUACGAUGUGCUCCAAACAUUUGGCGAACUUUUUUUCGCCUUUUCAACGUGCUAAGUAACAAGUUAAGAUGACUGCCAUCAUGGGCCGGUAAGAAACCGCAAGCAAAGGGCAGACAACCUUCCAGGAAGCUGCCUCCUGUCCCCGAGCCGAAGCUGCAGUUCAGCAAGAGCAGGUCAGCAAAUUGCUACCCUGAUCAAACGUAAACUAAAGCGCUCUGCUGUGAUUGCACUCCGUAAAUGUGAAAACUUGGUGCAUGCUGAGAAAUAUCAAACAAGAAAACUCCGUGAUGGACGCUGUGUGGCAAAGAAAUGCGGCCAAUUCGACGGGCCUGAAAAAUCCAAAUUGGCUUUUGUGAUCCGCAUCCGCGGUAUCAACAAAGUUGCACAAAAAGUGCGUAGUUUUACAGUUCUGUCUUCGCCACAUUAAAACGGUGUGUU